rnacentral:lncRNA from 1 species
AUGGGCCACUGAUGUAAUGAGCAGGAUGCUACAGAAAACAUGUGAAGAUAAAUAUUGAUAUCCUUCCUCCACUUAACCUUGAAGAAAAGAGAAGUCUUCCAGAACUUACGCUGAAGAAGUCCAGGCAAGAAGAGAGUUCAGCAUGGUCAAAACACCCCCUUCCCCGGAUCUUGUUGAACAUAUUACAACCAUGCUAAAGGAAGUACACUAGAUUUCAACACUACUAAGAGCACAUCAAAUUUUUAUCAUCAGGAAUGCUUGAAGGACGUGAAAUAUCCCUGUAUCUUUACAAUCAGUGAUCCUCACAUCUGGACUUCUUGGACAACUGCCGGAGAACACUCACCACUCAUAAGAAACAGGAGGCCACCACCACCACAAAAGCAUCUAACCCUGUUCAGAGUGAACCAAUACACUGGGAUCAGGGGUCAUGGAUUAAAGAGAAUCAGAUGGAGGAUCUCAUGGAAAUAUGAACAAUCCCUGCCAUUCCUAUCUACAUCUUCCUUGGGCUGUGUGGAUGCCUGUGCUCCUAAACUAACAAAUGAGACUCUGCCUACACAAUCAAAACAACCAGGGGAAAUGGGAAAUACAUUCAGUCAGCUUUUCGGCCUGUACGGUGUCUUGUGACAGUCUGACUAGUUGUUUUCACUAUGAUGACUCUUUUCUAAUAUUUUCCCUUGAAUAUAAUCCUAUUUUGUUAACUACAGAAAGUUAUCACUGAAUUGAAAAAAAUACUAAUUAUUGUGAAAAACAUACAAAAUUUAUUAUAUGAGGAAAUAUUUUUAAGAUCCAGAAUUCCUAUACUGCUAGUAUUAUUAUAUUUUACAGUUCUUUCACAAGCUGUUUUAUCUAUCAGUAUGUAUACCUGUGUGUGUGUGUGUACUUUUUUGACAUACAUUCUUUGCAACAUUGUUUUCUUACCUAAAAAUAAAUCACGAUAGUUUUCAUAGGUUAUUGAAUAU